CAUGUCUUUGAAAUGAAUGCAUGUGAACAUGUGUGAAGAAUAGCCUUGCUACUUUGCGUGUUUAUUGGUUUAAACUAUGCAUAAAUAAAGUUGUUUAAUUAACAGAAGCCACGUGUCUUCUUAAAAUUAAUUCGAUAACGAAUCCGGAAUUAAUACGAAAUCGGUUUUAGUUUUGUCGAUGACAAACUAUACGUCACAUUUUUACGUCACGGAACCAGAAGAUCGAACUGCAGUGUAGGAUGGAUUUAGCAGAGCUGAGGUAAUGAUUGUCAAGCAUUCGUUUUUAUUUACUUGCAUUUGAAAAUUAUAUCGUACAAUUACCGAUGUCAAAAGAGUAAACAUGUAGCACGGAGCUGUAACUGUGUUCUCCGGGAAAAUUCGGGCUGAAUUAAUGACGAUAAAAAUGAUGUUUCCCCAGAGAGCUACAACUAAGCAGCUAUUUGGUUUAGUUAAUAUAGAAGAAUCAAUACUUAUUAAAACCCAUAAAAUAUAUGUCGAUCUUGGAUAAAACGCAUUUGAAAACUGAAAUAUUUGAAACUAGAGAAAAACUAGAGCAAAGCCUAUGUAAAGUAACGAGUAGGUCUUCCAUUGCAACUAAGUGAAAUAAUUAUUGAAUUGCCUCUAUUAAGUUGUAUUCUUAUUGCAUGGUCAUUGAAAUUUUUUUAUAGGCAUGCCUUGGCUGUUUCACAUAUCCCUGGAAGAGGACACCAACUAGCUAACACAGUCAAUGACAGAUGUCUCUUUGAAUGGAUAAAAUCAUAAUCAAAUGGAUAUAAUACAGAAGUUUCAAAGAUCUGUUUUGAUGUAGCCUGAAGAUUUUGUAAUGAAUGAUCCAGGAUCCAAAAGUUCUUCGCGGAGUUCAAAGACAGUUGCAAUGUGGUUGCUAAUUUAGUGACAGAUUAAGAAAGAAGUUCAAACAAGCAUUGUCAUGGGAAAACAUUAAAAAGGAAGAAGUUGGAGGUGGACAAAAAUCAGGAUGAAUAUACUAGAGAAACUAUUAAAGCACAGAAGAAUGACAACAAUAUAAAUCUAAAUGUAAUCAUUCAAGGAAUUAAAUUCAUUUUUAAUCUCGAAACUGUCUUUUUUCUGUAACUCUAAUUUUAGAUUAACAAGUAGCUGGAAAUGCAAAAUGAAUGUUUCCAAAGAUUCACUGAAGUUACUGAGUGAUUAAUUGAAAUGAUUCAAGCAGCAAGAUGAAGUAUAUCAAGAAUGCAAGAAUGAACUGAAAAAUUAAAAAUAUUCAAGUAAUGUAAUUAAGCAAUUUACAUGCGAUAUGUAUGUAAUUUAUGUGAAAAACGUACGUUGGAUCCACAUACGUAAAACGUAUGGAAUGUAUCACGUAUGUCUAACACACGUGUAACAUACGUUUCACAUAUGUUCAUUAACGUAUGUUAAACACACGUGGUACUUAAAUCACGUUAAACGUGCGUGAGGUCACAUACGUAUCACACACGUUUAACGUAUGUGAA